AGGCUUGCUGGUUGGUGGCGCGUCCGCAGCACCCAAGCCAAACUGGCUGAACUGGAAGCAGCCAAGCAUGAGGGGCCCCUGGAGCUAGGGGUGGUGGUCACGCUGCUGUUGCUGUCACCGUAGCGCUCGGAGUUACGCAGAAUGCUUCAGCCGUCACGCCAAAAUGGGAGUGGGAAUAUGAAACGUACGAGCUUUGAGAGACAGAAUGACAAUCCUUUGGAGAAAAACACCUUGUCCUAUUUGUUCAAACUGUCAGUGUGCUGACAGGAGUAGCCUAUAGAAAUGAAAUGUUCUGUGGGGGAAAAAAAAGUGACAUCUCUGGCCCCCGUCUUAUGUGAUUCAAUUCUUGAGAAACCUAGUGGGCGCCACCUCAAACUGGCCUUUUACUUGGGCUUCGUGCGCUUUGCUGAAUCUAUGGUGGAAUAUCCACCUAUGUGGACAGAAAAAUGCCCAUCCCUCGUAGCGUCAGGUGAGAGGACACAGAAGCGAUGCAGAAAUAGAAAAAUUUCACUUCGACAGAUACAUUGAUCAACUCUCUUUGACUUUUACUUUGUUACCCAAAAAAUAAAAAUGGCUGUGUAAUAUUCUCUUUCUGGUGAGCCUUUUGUGCUGUUUCAUAAAUAGAAAAUUAAGACAAUUUCCUGUGGCAGAAUUUGCCUUAAUUUGUUCUAUAAAGAUGCAAUUUAUUAUUGUUUUAGUUAAAGUGAUGUGGUUGGCCAGUUUCUGAAUUUACACAUUGCCAUUUUUAAUGUUGUCAUUUAAUUCUGUCAUGCUUUGAUUGAAAAAUAAAUCACAAGUUAUCAAUGA